rnacentral:rRNA from 1 species
CAGUAGCCGCGGUAAUACGAGGGGUGCAAGCGUUAUUCGGAUUGAUUGGGUGUAAAGGGUGUGCAGACGGCUUAUUAAGUCACUUGUUAAGUUCUUCGGCCUAACUGAAGGUCUGCAAGUGAUACUGAUGAGCUAGAGGGUGGAAGAGAGAAGUGGAAUUCUCGGAGUAGCGGUAAAAUGCGUAGAUCUCGAGAGGAACACCAAUGGCGAAGGCAGCUUCUUGGUCCAUUCCUGACGUUCAUACACGAAAGCGUGGGGAGCAAACAGGAUUAGAUACCCCCGUAGUCCCUGUCUCUUAUAC